AGCUUUGCGCAGUAGCAGUAUUGUAGCCAAUGAGGUUUAUCUGAGGCACGAUUAUUGCUAAUUGUUUGGCAUAUUCCCAAAUGGAUAGGUGUGGUCUGGAAAAAAUCAUUAGAACCUGAAAUUUAUAGGGGAAUAAAAUAUA